rnacentral:misc_RNA from 1 species
GCAUGUCUGACAACUUUACAUCUCUAAUGCCUUUCUUCAUGGCUACCUUCUUCAUGAAAUAUACGUAGACAACCAAUGGUUUUCAUUGAUUUUGCACAUCCAGAAUAUGUAUGCAAAUUGAAUAAAUCUCUUUAUGGCCUCAAACAAACACUAUAAGCUUGGUUUCAUUGCUAACAUACUUUUUGGGCAGUCUCUGCUUCCAACCUUCCGAAGCUGACACAUCUCUCUUUAUGGAAAAGGAAGGUAACCUUCAACUCUUUAUUUUAGUACAUAUUUCUGAUAUUUUGUUUACGAGUUCAGAUGGCGCAAUGUUCGUGAUCUUGACUCUUCAUUAUUUUUUGAGAAUUAAGGCAAAAUAAUGAUCAAUAGGCUUGCUACUUUCCCAAUAGAAAUAUAUCAAUGAUCUAUUAACUCAAACACAAAUGGAGAAUUGUAAACCGUGUUUUAUGCCCAUGGAUAUCAGUCCAACAUUAACAAAAUCCACUGGUGAUUUAUUUGAUAAUGGUAAGCUAUACCAUCAAGUGGUAGGAGCCCUUCAAUAUGUAACUCUCACAAGGCCAGACAUUACAUUCUCUGUCAACAACUUAUGUCAAUUUAUGUAUUAGCCAACCAAUGAGCAUUGGAGUUAAACACCUCCUCUAUUAUCUUAGUCUCACUAGUCAUCUCGGCCUAUUAAUUACAAAGGACUCCACUACAACUACAACCAUUCAAUGCUACUCAGAUAGUGAAUGGGGAGGUUGCCCUGAUGAUCGUAGGUCUACAAAUGGUUAUGCCAUAUUUCUUGGCAAGAACUUGAUUUCGUGGGCUACCAAAAAGUAACUAACAAUUGUAAAGUCUUCAACAGAAGGUGAAUACAAAUCUCUCUCUAAUGCUACAACUGAAAUUUUGGAUUCAGUCAUUAUUACAAUAACUUGAUUUUCUAUCUAGUGAUCUAGCUACUCUAUGGUAUGACAAUAUUGGCGAGCUAAUCCUGUGUUUCAUACCAGGACCAAGCACAUAGAGCUUUAUUAUCAUUUUGUCAAGAAGCAAUUUAGUAAAGGCCCUAUUUAGGUUUGCUUUCUUUCUUCGGGUGAUUAGAUUGCAGAUAUCUUGAUCAAGCCAUUAUGCCAUUGUCUGUUUAAUAAAAUCGUGACAGGCUAAGGCUAUUGUCGCAUCCACCUUUAGCUUGAGGGGGGUUAUUAGGAUACCUCCAAGAUAUCCACCUUCAACUAGUGUAACAAUAGUAGUUUAGUGUUUGUAUUUAUCUCAAAUGCUUCCAUCUCCGUGUACCGAUGUAUAUUGCUAUAUAAGCACAUUGUACAUAUUAACAUGGCAAGUGAAAAUCACAAAAUUUCUUUAACGUGUUA